GCCCGGAUGGUCUAGUGGUAUGAUUCUCGCUUUGGGAUCGCAACUCUAAUGCGAGAGGCCCCGCGUUCGAACCGCGGUUCGGGCC